CGGGUGCUAACGUCCGUCGUGAAGAGGGAAACAACCCAGACCGCCAGCUAAGGUCCCAAAGUCAUGGUUAAGUGGGAAACGAUGUGGGAAGGCACAGACAGCCAGGAUGUUGGCUUAGAAGCAGCCAUCAUUUAAAGAAAGCGUAAUAGCUCACUGAUCGAGUCGUCCUGCGCGGAAGAUGUAACGGGGCUAAGCCAGUUACCGAAGCUGCGGAUUUGCAAUUUAUUGCAAGUGGUAGGAGAGCGUUCUGUAAGCCUGUGAAGGUGCCUGGUAACGGGUGCUGGAGGUAUCAGAAGUGCGAAUGCUGACAUGAGUAACGUAAGGGGAGUGAGAGACUCCCCCGCCGAAAGACCAAGGGUUCCUGCUUAAAGCUAAUCUGAGCAGGGUUAGCCGGCCCCUAAGACGAGGCGGAAACGCGUAGUCGAUGGGAACCACGUUAAUAUUCGUGGGCUUGGAGGUAGUGACGGAUCAUUGAGGUAGUCCAAUCUUAUCGGAUUGAACGGGCUGCUGCGUGGUUCCAGGAAAUAGCUCCUCCUUAUAAACCGUACCCGAAACCGACACUGGUGGUCUGGUAGAGUAUACCAAGGCGCUUGAGAGAACUAUGCUGAAGGAACUCGGCAAAUUGCACGCGUAACUUCGGAAGAAGCGUGACCCUUUUCCACGCAAGUGGAGGAGGGUGGCACAGACCAGGGGGUAGCGACUGUUUAUCAAAAACACAGGGCUCUGCGAAGUCGCAAGACGACGUAUAGGGUCUGACGCCUGCCCGGUGCUGGAAGGUUAAGAGGAGGGGUGCAAGCUCUGAAUCGAAGCCCCAGUAAACGGCGGCCGUAACUAUAACGGUCCUAAGGUAGCGAAAUUCCUUGUCGGGUAAGUUCCGACCUGCACGAAUGGCGUAACGACUUCCCCGCUGUCUCCAGCAUAGACUCAGUGAAAUUGAAUUCCCCGUGAAGAUGCGGGGUUCCUGCGGUUAGACGGAAAGACCCCGUGCACCUUUACUAUAGCUUUACAUUGGCAUUCGUAGUGGCAUGUGUAGGAUAGGUGGUAGGCUUUGAAACCUGGGCGCCAGCUCAGGUGGAGCCACCCUUGAAAUACCACCCUUAUUACUAUGGAUGUCUAACCGCGGCCCGUUAUCCGGGUCCGGGACAAUGUAUGGUGGGUAGUUUGACUGGGGCGGUCGCCUCCUAAAGAGUAACGGAGGCGCGCGAUGGUGGGCUCAGAACGGUCGGAAAUCGUUCGCUGAGUGCAAUGGCAUAAGCCUGCCUGACUGCGAGACUGACAAGUCGAGCAGAGACGAAAGUCGGUCAUAGUGAUCCGGUGGUCCCGCGUGGAAGGGCCAUCGCUCAACGGAUAAAAGGUACGCCGGGGAUAACAGGCUGAUGACCCCCAAGAGUCCAUAUCGACGGGGUUGUUUGGCACCUCGAUGUCGACUCAUCGCAUCCUGGGGCUGGAGCAGGUCCCAAGGGUAUGGCUGUUCGCCAUUUAAAGCGGUACGUGAGUUGGGUUCAGAACGUCGUGAGACAGUUCGGUCCCUAUCUGCCGUGGGUGUAGGAAUAUUGAAAGGAUCUGUCCCUAGUACGAGAGGACCGGGAUGGACGGAUCUCUGGUGGACCUGUUGUGGCGCCAGCCGCAUAGCAGGGUAGCUAUAUCCGGACGGGAUAACCGCUGAAGGCAUCUAAGCGGGAAACCCACCUUAAAACGAGUAUUCCCUGAGAACCGUGGAAGACGACCACGUUGAUAGGCCGGGUGUGGAAGAGCGGCAACGCUU
rnacentral:rRNA from 1 species